UACGUAGGUGGCAAGCGUUAUCCGGAAUUAUUGGGCGUAAAGCGCUCGCAGGCGGUUUCUUAAGUCUGAUGUGAAAGCCCACGGCUCAACCGUGGAGGGCCAUUGGAAACUGGGAGACUUGAGUGCAGAAGAGGAGAGUGGAAUUCCACGUGUAGCGGUGAAAUGCGUAGAGAUGUGGAGGAACACCAGUGGCGAAGGCGACUCUCUGGUCUGUAACUGACGCUGAGGAGCGAAAGCGUGGGGAGCAAACAGG
rnacentral:rRNA from 1 species